rnacentral:rRNA from 1 species
AUGGAGAUGGAUGCGAUGGGGAAGCAGCAGAGGGAGGAGGUGCUCCUCCGCGCCGCCUCCGACGGCAACCUCCGACUCCUCAAGAAGAUGGCGCGGGCGAUGAGCUCAGGGGGCCAGGGCGAGGCCUCCGUCCUGGCGGCGGUGGAGGACGGCGAAGGGAACCGCGCGCUGCACCUGGCGGCCGGGGAGGGGCGGCUCGAGGUCUGCAGGUACCUCGUCGAGGACCUCCGCCUCGAUGUCAAUCAACUCAACUUCAAAGGUGAAACGCCGCUGUUCUGUUCUGCCCAUUCUGGGAGAGCUGCUGCUGCAACAUAUCUUCUUGAUCAUGGUGCUGAUCCAUCAGCUGGGAAAGGACGGUCACCUGUCCAUGGUGCUGCAGCGCGAGGGCAUUGUGAAAUGUUGGAAAUGCUGCUUUCAAGAGGAGCCGAUGUGGAUAUAGAUUCUGUACAAGGGACGCCAUUGCAUGCAGCUCUUCUUUAUAGACAAGAUGGCACAAUGAAGAUUUUGUUGGAGCACCAUGCCGAUCCUAACAAGGUUUUCGCUAUUGGUUAUACCCCGUUGAGUUGGGCUCUCCGGCCCAUGCCUACAGUGUCACUGGAAUCUGUCAAGCUACUCAUUGAGGCUGGUGCUGAUGUGGAUUUUAUUGACUUCACUGGUGAUAGUUACGUCAUGUUGGCAGUGAAGUAUGACAUACCUGGCACUGGCAUCUUGAAGUGCUUACUAGACGCUGGUGCUAACCCCAAUAUUCCAGAUGAAUGUGGUACGACACCAAUUGAACUUGCUGCCUCUAAAGGCCGUAAGGACAUGGUUGAAAUGUUAUUCCCUUUAACCUCUCCUAUUUCAACGCUGCCGGAGUGGAGCAUUGAUGGAAUCAUUUCUCAUGUGAAACACUUUGGUUUGAAGCCAAUGGAUAAGCAAGAGCGUGCAAAGAAAUUAACUGAACUGAAACAGAAAGCUUCAGAGGCUUUUAAGAGUGGGCAGUAUUAUAUAGCAGCACUGCUGUAUAGUAGUGCAAUGGCAUUUGGCCCUAGUCCAGAUGAUUUUGCAACCAUAUUGGCAAAUAGGAGUCUCUGCUCGUUGCGCGCUAUGAACGGAAGAACUGCUCUCGCUGAUGCUAGUAGUUGCAGAAUGCUCCGACCUCUUUGGCCAAAAGCCUGCUAUCGAGAAGGGGCAGCUUUUAUGUUAUUGAAGGACUACGAGAAAGCAUGCAAGGCUUUUGCCGAUGAUGGCUUGAAGCUUGACCCUACAAACAGUCAUCUUGCAAAUGCUUUAAGGGAAGCCCAAGAGGCAGCGAAGAAUGCUCGUUGCCCUGGAAAGUAA